UCAGCAAAGGAUGAUGGGAUUUUCAUUA
rnacentral:piRNA from 1 species